ACUUAAUGGCCCUGAUGAGCCUCACCUGGGACCACUUUGCCCACAGCCCAGCCCCCUGGCCCAGCAGUCCUUUUUCUGCUGACGCUGCAGCAGGGUUGCUCUCCAGUUCUUCAUGGUUCUGCCUUGCUGGGGGCCCUGCUGGGCAGGAUUGGGGGCAUCCCAACUUCUCCUUGUGGUGAUAGUCCAAGCCCAGCAAAGAAGCUGCUGCUUUCAGUGAAGCCACAUUCAAGACUGUCUACCAUAAAAGCUGGGAUCUGGAGGGGUCCUGUCCUUCUGGGAACAAGGAGGUCACUUCUACAUAAUGCUCCUCCUUAGGGAAAAGGGGUUAUACCUAUCUCUCCUGAAUUGCAAAUGAGGAUCUGCCAAGCAAGUUGCAGUGCCCGAUGCUUCACGGAAGGCGUUAUCCUCUGCUUGGUUACACCUGGAGGGAAGCUUCUUCCAAGCACUGAUCACGAGAAGUCUAGACCAUAAGUCAUUUCCAGCCUGUAUAGUAAUGCAACGCAUCAGAAACACAACUUCUAUUCCAAUUCAUGUAAAUACUCCUCUUUAGAACAUCUUGAACUGCUUU